ACGGGUGCGGAACACGUACGCAACCUUCCUUUAAGCGGGGAAUAGCCCAGAGAAAUUUGGAUUAAUACCCCAUAAGAAUGUGAUCUGGCAUCAGGUAGCAUUUAAAGAUUUAUCACUUAAAGAUGGGCGUGCGUCUGAUUAGGUAGUUGGUGAGGUAACGGCUCACCAAGCCGACGAUCAGUAACUGGCGUGAGAGCGCGACCAGUCACACGGGCACUGAGACACGGGCCCGACUCCUACGGGAGGCAGCAGUAAGGAAUAUUGGUCAAUGGACGCAAGUCUGAACCAGCCAUGCCGCGUGGAGGAUGAAGGCCCUCUGGGUUGUAAACUUCUUUUAUCUGGGACGAAACACUCUUUUUCUAAGGAGCUUGACGGUACCAGGUGAAUAAGCACCGGCUAACUCCGUGCCAGCAGCCGCGGUAAUACGGAGGGUGCAAGCGUUAUCCGGAUUCACUGGGUUUAAAGGGUGCGUAGGCGGACAUGUAAGUCCGUGGUGAAAUCUCCGAGCUUAACUCGGAAACUGCCAUGGAUACUAUAUGUCUUGAAUGUUGUGGAGGUUAGCGGAAUAUGUCAUGUAGCG
rnacentral:rRNA from 1 species